GUCAUGUCCUGAAAAGUACAAUGGUGCAAGGGUACCCAAAUUUCUACAAGUGUUCUACAACGAUGCAGUGAGACCCCAAGAAAAGGUUUUCGCUUGGCACUGGAUACACCUGCAUGGGUACAUACCACCCUUGGCCUACCGUGAUCAGGAUCUUAAGUGCUUGGAUAUAUAACUGGAGCAAGACAAGUGUCGGCGGAAGAUGUACAGUGACUCUCAAUAUGACUUGCAUCACGGGAGCGCGUGGUAUCAUGAGUUCAAAGACUGGCCAUGGCUUCCACUAGCCCUUAUUUCCAUAACUAAAUGCUGUUCUCGCACUCGGGGAUGAUUCCAAAUAAGAAAAUAUCAUUUAGUUGCUGAAAUGAAAACACGUUGAACCCAUGCGCAAUCUUUGAACUCAUGAGGCCACACGCUCCCGUAUUGCAAGUCAUACUGAGUGGAAAAAAGAUUCUGCUAAAAGAUUCUACAUAAAAGUGGAAAAGUGAUUCUGCUACUCCAUGUAAUCCUGCAGUCUGCUAAGCAGGGCAAGCUCUAGAAGUAUGCCCACAAACAAUGCUGUCGAUAUGGUUGUGGUUUGCCUAGUCUAGGAAUGGCUACAAUUUAUGCCUAUUGAUGCCCAUUUCCACUGGGCAGCAAGUUUGCCAGUUUCCCAGCAUUACAUCAUGAAUGUAGUGAUCA